UUUAUUUUAGCAUCUGUGAGCCCUGAUGUAUAGGGUGCUCUACCUGUUUGAACAGAUGGUACCUACCUUAAAGACCUUAUAGCAGUGAGGUGAAUCUGAACAAAGACAGAGAAAAAGUAAAGUGAAAGAUCAUAGCAGUGAAGGCAAAGAGCUCAUAGAGCAACUCAUCAAUGGCUAGAGGUAAUCAUACCAAGAUAAACUUUAAAAGAGGCUCUUCAGCCAGUCAAGAAUUGUUUCAUUGAAGUCCCAUUUCUCUUGGAUUUUCAAGCUUGCAAUUUGAAACCCCUGAUGGCUCCUGAAGUCUUCUCUCCCUCUUUUCUUCAAGCCCUGCAAUGUUCUGUCCAUCCUGGAGAGUUCUGGGAAUGCCAGAACCAUCCUCAGUGACAACUCAAGCCGUUUUGGAAAGCUUCUGAAUGUCCACCUGCGACAGUGAGUUAAAGGAACAUCUUGGGAUGCUAUCCUUCUCAGCUGUCAAGGGGUGCUUGGGUGAGUAAAGGUCUAGCAGUGCUCAGAGCUCUUGUGAUAGUUCUUUCUCCCUUACACUCUGUUAUCAUCAGGAUAUGAAAAGAACCAAGUUGGUCAGGUCAUACCCUUGUUUCUCAGCAACAACACCCUCUGCUAAACCUUCAGAGAAGUGAAUCUAUAGAAUCUAGCUUCUGACAGGAUCUGCGGUUAUCUUACACUUGUGAUAUCAUGGUGGGAAAAUCCAUCUCCCAGUCCCUGCUGGAGAAGUCUCAUGUGGUAUUUCAGGCCCACGGUGAGAGGAAUUACCAUGUGUUUUAUGAGCUACUAGUUGGGCUGUCCGUGGAGCAGAAAGUUAUGUACUUGCAAGAGGCAGUCUUAGCUGACUCAGGUGAGUGAGGGCAAAGCAUGUGACAUCCCCCAUCCUGGGGAAGGAGGACAGCAAGCACUUUCUGGUCUUGGUGCAAGCUCUGGAGGAAAUCAGCAUCUCCAUCAGCUGACCUCUACCUGCGCUGUGCUGGCUGCCCUCUGCAACUGGGAACACUUGCUUUGCCUCCUGUGAGGUACACUAACCCUUGGCAACUUGGGAAUGGGUUGU